GGGGGUUCAGGCUCUGGGCUCCAUAAAGUGCCUUGAGACAGUUUCAAGCAAACAUGACAUGCAUAGUGUUAUUGGCACUAUAUGAAUAUAAUAGAAUACAACCUUGUGCUGAAUUGAAUUGAACAGUCUGCAUUUGUUGUCAGACACUUUCUCUGAUAAAGGCCCACUGGAUUUGCAUCAAGCCGUUUCUUAGUCCUUGCUCUGAUGCGCCCAUCUCACUUCUGUUUCAGCGGCUCAGUGCAGUGGAGUCAUGUGACUUCAAAGAAACAAGCAGGAAUCCAUUUAGGGGAAUAUGCCACUGCCACUGUCUGAGAAGGUGUUGCAGAGAACACCUUUGUAUGUGACAGUUGUACUUAAUGAACACAAACUUUUUCUCCAUUGUUCUCUACAAAAAGUUAAUAUCUGCUCAUUUUGGACUAAAACUGGUAGUUGCUGAAAGAGGUGAGUUUUACACAUGUACUGGAUAUUUAGUCUUUAAUUAACCUCUGAAAUGAGAAUUCAAACAGGAUUUUAUUUUUUUAAUUAUUCAUAAGAUCACUAUAAGUCAUCAGGAGGCUUUCCUCUCUCUGACACAACAAUUGGUGAUGAAAUUAGUAUGUCCAUCUUAAAUAAAACACACUGUACAAGAUAAAGUAUACCAAGCAAGAAAAUGAAUCUAACGGUAAGAGAUAUUAUUUCCCUCUAUUUGUAUAUGAAUAUGUGUGUGCUAUGAAUGUAGCAUUUCAAACAACAAAAUAUCAUGCUUAUUAUUUUAAUCAUACAUACAGACAAACUGUGGAACUAGAACAGCUCCACUUACUUUUGCUUUGCAGUAUGGCCAUAUUAGCAGUAGUUCCCAUUUUGGGCAUCAGUGGACCCUGUACUGGGCUGAGAAGUGAAACCACCAAGGGACCCACACUUUGAAUCCCAUAAGGGAACUGAACCCUUUUAGAUCUACAGAUGGGCCUUAUUUUGUCUGCACCAGUUAAUCCAGGUUUGCCCGACUGGGUGUACAGUUAAACACAUUGGAUAAUUAACUUGCCAGUAAAUUCUUAUUUCUGGAAGGGGGUCCUGUGGCCCCAGAAUGAGUAAGUGCAGGUUGGGUCUGUGUGGGAUGUGUUCAUGUUUGGUGUAGUCUACCCUGGCAACAAAAAACAAUAGAGGGUUCUUGGCCACCAUUUUGUGUCAUGCUUCUUUGCAGUUUUCCUGUUCAUUUCCAAGCUUGCAAAAUGGCUGAUGUUAAAUGCAUGU
ensembl:lncRNA